rfam:Oryza meridionalis cultivar OR44 (W2112) chromosome 6, whole genome shotgun sequence.
AAUAAAUAUAGUUUUGCACUGAUCAUGUCCAACGUUUGACCGUAUAUCUUAUUUGAAAAUUUUUUAUGGUUAGCUUUUUUUAUUAGAUGAUAAAACAUAAUUAUUACUUUAUGUAUGACUAAUUUUUUUUAAUUCUUUAUAAAUUUUUUAAAUAAGACGGACAGUCAAAUGUUAGACACAGAUACCCACUGCUGCAUUUAUU